GGGAGCAAGGAGAAGGGGGGAGGAGGAACCGGCGGCGCCUUCCCCGCCCAGGUGGGGAAGCGACGGACCCGUCACCUGUCCCGGGAUACAGGACGAGAGGAGGGGGCUGCUCCUCUGGAAAGUGGGAGGAAGCACCGUCUUGUCACUCAGGCACGUAAAUAGGACAUAGAAGUGUCACUUGUCUGGGCUGGGAUCUCUCUGAGUAAAUCAUGAUUCAACAUACAAACUUGUUAAAUGCUGGUGGCAAUUUCUUUGCAAAGCUCUUGUGAAGACUUGGGUCACGCAGUCAGUAGGGUAUGAAGCCUUAGAACUGUUAUGAUUAACUGGGAACUCCAGAACUGAAGUCCAGAGUGACAGGAGUUUUGGGAGAUGACAUGCUAAAUGCCUGUGUCUAUCACAGGGUACUGGAACACAAUAGAUUGCAAAAUAGCCUCUGAGUGUAUCUUGACUUUCCUCUGUGAUGCAUGUUCCUCUGAGACAGGCAUUACUUUUCUCCUACCAGUCAACUUCCUCUGUACAAUCUUUUUCUGAUAGUUUAACUAGUUACUGUCCUAACUAGGCAGAGAAAACCACCAUCCCAUUUACUUUUCCUAGCACAAAAACCAAUGCCUGACCACAUGCCUUUAACUAGGUAUCAUCCCUCCAUGCCUGUAAUCAUUUAUUAAGAGGAAUUGGGUUACAAGUCAGCUUUUGUAUGCUGUAGCUGACAUUCUGGUUUGAUUAUAUUUUGUAAAUAAUGUGAAAGAUGUACUUUGAAGUAAACUCAGACAUUAGUAACAGGAACUCAUA